rnacentral:misc_RNA from 1 species
AUGAGCGCUAUUCAAAAGCUGCAUCUUAUGAUGUAUCUAAACGCUGCUCAACAAGUGAAGCACAUCCCCGAGAAGACAAGAUUAGAAACCACAUUUCUGCUAGGAUUGAGGAUUCUCCCAUGGAGAAUGAUGGAGCAACAUCAAAUUUAGAGCGGAGUGACUCUGCUAGUUUACCUAUGACAGAAGAGGUUGUUACUAAUGUUACCAACAAUAAGGAAGAGCUUGCGGUUUUAAGUCUUGGAACUGAAUCACAAAUGGUGGAGCUCAUGGUAGAAAAUGUUGCAUGUCUUGUCCCUAACAUUAAAAGGCAGCCACAUGUUGAAAGUUCAAGUGACAACAAGAUUAUUUGCUCUUCAGAACUUGAGGUUAAAUUGGAAGCCGAGGUCCAUGCUGAUCCUGCAGCCCUUGAAAAUCAACGUUUACUUCCAGGCAAGGGUAAGUUGGAUAUAACAAAAUCAUUGGCAAAACCUGCAGGGACAUCUUCAGGAUGCUUGUCUGAAAAAACUGUAGUAAAUAUUACCACUAUAGUCAGUUCAGAAAAUAGUGACUGUAAAUUACAGGAAGGCAGUAGAAAUGCAAUGAUUGGUAAUAAUACAACUAAUACUGAUGAAUCACCCAGUGCACUCUGUCA